CACGUGGGCAAUCUGCCCUGCACUCUGGGACAAGCCCUGGAAACGGGGUCUAAUACCGGAUAUGACUACUGACCGCAUGGUUGGUGGUGGAAAGCUCCGGCGGUGCAGGAUGAGCCCGCGGCCUAUCAGCUUGUUGGUGGGGUGAUGGCCUACCAAGGCGACGACGGGUAGCCGGCCUGAGAGGGCGACCGGCCACACUGGGACUGAGACACGGCCCAGACUCCUACGGGAGGCAGCAGUGGGGAAUAUUGCACAAUGGGCGAAAGCCUGAUGCAGCGACGCCGCGUGAGGGAUGACGGCCUUCGGGUUGUAAACCUCUUUCAGCAGGGAAGAAGCGAGAGUGACGGUACCUGCAGAAGAAGCGCCGGCUAACUACGUGCCAGCAGCCGCGGUAAUACGUAGGGCGCAAGCGUUGUCCGGAAUUAUUGGGCGUAAAGAGCUCGUAGGCGGCUUGUCGCGUCGGAUGUGAAAGCCCGGGGCUUAACCCCGGGUCUGCAUUCGAUACGGGCAGGCUAGAGUUCGGUAGGGGAGAUCGGAAUUCCUGGUGUAGCGGUGAAAUGCGCAGAUAUCAGGAGGAACACCGGUGGCGAAGGCGGAUCUCUGGGCCGAUACUGACGCUGAGGAGCGAAAGCGUGGGGAGCGAACAGGAUUAGAUACCCUGGUAGUCCACGCCGUAAACGUUGGGAACUAGGUGUGGGCG
rnacentral:rRNA from 1 species